rfam:Picea glauca, whole genome shotgun sequence.
CCUGCAACAUAGCGUUAAUGCACCAUAUCCCAUUAAAACUCCGCAGUUAAGCAUGCUUCAGAUAGAGUAGUACUAGAAUGGGUGACCGCCCAGGAUGUCCUACUAUUUUAUAUGC